UUCGAUCCUGGCUCAGAUUGAACGCUGGCGGGAUGCUUUAUACAAGUCGAACAGCAGCACGGACAGUCUAGUGGCGAGUGGCGAACGGGUGAGUAAUGUAUCGGAACGUACUAGUAGCGAGGAUAUUCGCGAAAGCGUAGCUAAUGCCGCAUACGCCCUUCGAAAGCGGGGACAUUGGAGCCUCGCCUAUGAAACGGCCGAUAUCGGAUUAGCUGGUUGGUGGGGUAACGGCUCACCGAAGGCGGGCGAUCCGUAUGGCUGGUUUGAGAGGACGACCAGCCACACUGGGACUGGAACACAGCCCAGACUCCUGCAGGAGGCAGCGGUGGGGAAUUUUGGACAAUGCGAAGCCCUGAUCCAGCCAUCCACGCGUGUGCGAUGAAUAUUCGGGUUGUAAACACUUUUUGGCAGGAAAGAAACAGCGAUAAUACCCCGUGCAACUGACGGUGCACCUGCGAAUAAACACCGGCUAACUACGUGCCAACGACCACCCGGUAAUACGUAGGGUGCAAGCGUUAAUCGGAAUCACUGGGCGUAAAGCGUGCGCAGGCGGUUCGGAAAAGAAGAUGCUGAAAUCCCAGAGCUUAACUUUGGAACUGCAUUUUUAACUACCGGCUAAGAGUGUAGUCAGAAGGAGGUGGAAUUCCGCGUGUAGCAGUGACUCGUAUUGCGGAAGACACGAUGGCGAAAACGACCUCCUGGGAUAACUGACGCUCGCCACGAAAAGCGUGGGGAGCAAACAGAUUAGAUGCCUGGUGAUCACCCUAAACAAUCAACUAGCUGUUGGGCCAACGGGCCUUGGUAGCGCAAUAACAUGAUAUGACCGCCUGAAGAUACAGUCGCAAGAUUAAAACUCGAAGAUUGACGAGGACCCACUACAAGCGGUGGAUGAUGGAUUAAUUCAGUGCAAGCACCGAAAAGCCUUCACCUGCCUUGACAUGUCUACUGAUCCCGAAGAGAUUUGGGAAGUGCUCACCGAAGGCAGAACACAGGUACUGCAUAAUAAUUCAGCUCGUGUCGUGAGAUGUUAGGUUAAGUCCCGCAACGAAGGCGCAACCCUUGUCAUUAGUUGCUACGAAAGGGCACUCUAAUGAGACUGCCGGUGACAAACCGGAGGAAGGUGGGGAUGACGUCAAGUCCUCAUGGCCCUUAUGGUAGGGCUUUACGUCGCAAUGGUCGGGACAGAGGGUCGCCAACCCGCAGGGGAGCACAAUCAGAAACCCGAUCGUAGUCCGGAUCGCAGUCUGCAACUCGACUGCGUGAAGUCGGAAUCGCUAUUAAUCAUGAGUCAGCAUGUCGCGGUGAAUACGUUCCAGGUCUUGUACACACCGCCCGUCACACCAUGGGAGUGGGUUUUACCAGAAAUGGAUUGGCCUAACCGUAAGGAGGAGCGAUUACCACGGUAGGAUUCAUGACUGGGGUGGAAGUCACAUCAACAAGGUAA
rnacentral:rRNA from 1 species